AUGAUAAUGCUGGAGAUCUACAGAGCAGGCAAGCAGCGUUGGAUUGUUGCAGUGAAUUCCUGCCUUAAGAUUGGCUUCAUCUCAAGGACAAGAGAAGACGACCUCAAGAUGUCUAAGUGGUUGAAGUCAGCUCAGGGAAGGAUCUGGCCCAGUCUAACUUUGGUAGCAAGGAGCCACCUGUGCCCUGUUGGAGGAGCUUGUCUUUGGGCAGCUGGCUCUGCAGCAGGGGUGGUAGUUACAAGAAGCCUGCACUCUUGUGAGAGGGAAAUGUCUGUGCUUAUAGCUGACAGUGCUUGCAAGACUGCUCUCACUGUACCUGGAGGGUAGAUGUUGACAACAGCUUUGCUCCACUAAGACUACAUGUCUGCAAAGAGACCAAAUGGAUGUGUGUCCCUGGCUUGGGUCUAAGUGAGACCUCCAGAAAUACUGACAUAUGCUUUGGUAUUGACUCCUGGCGUAUCUUUUGGCUGCAUCUGAAGGUACAGCUCAGCUGGGUCCCUGGAGCUCAUCAGCUCCAAGCCAACACCAAAAACAUACCUUGCUUCCAAGGGCAAUUUUGUGGCUGUAGCAAUGCUUUGUUCCUG
rnacentral:lncRNA from 1 species